rnacentral:misc_RNA from 1 species
GUAAGUAAUGAAGCCACUGUAAUUCACAUGUAGUGGAUGCAAGAGCACGAUACUUUGCUUAUGAGAAGCUUCUAGAUACAGUGCUUUGCUUCUUUGCUUUCCAACAAAUUAAGGAUUGACCAACAAAAAUACAAAAUCCAGUAAUGGAUUUUCUAGCAUCAACACAGCUUGCCCAGUCAGAAUCACUAAAUGCUUUAAGUUGUAAUUCUGACUUGGCUGAGAAAAAUAUACCAGCACCUAGAGCAGCGCUGAUGUAUCUCAG